rnacentral:pre_miRNA from 1 species
AGUGGAAUUGCUGAGUUAUAGAGUGGGUAUAUGUUUAACUUUAUAAGAAACUUCCAAGCUUUUUUCUAAAGUUGCUGUACCAGUUUACGUUUUCACUAGCAAU